UACAGAGGUCCCAAGCGUUGUUCGGAUUCAUUGGGCGUAAAGGGUGCGUAGGCGGCGCGGGAAGUCGGGUGUGAAAUCUCGGAGCUUAACUCCGAAACUGCAUUCGAUACUGCCGUGCUUGAGGACUGGAGAGGAGACUGGAAUUUACGGUGUAGCGGUGAAAUGCGUAGAGAUUGGGAAGAACAUCGGUGGCGAAAGCGCUCUACUGGACCUCAUCUGACACUCAGGGACGAAAGCUAGGGGAGCGAAUGGG
rnacentral:rRNA from 1 species